AAAUUAAUAAUAGGUAUCUGAAAAAUUGCCAAAUAUUUUGAAGUCAAGCAACAUGCUUAUAAAAAACCUGUAGGUCAAAGAAGAAGUGACGUUGGAAAUGAGAAACUCUUUUGAACUGAGAGAUGAUUUUAAAGCCACAUAUCAAAACUGAUAGGAUGAGGCUGAGGAAGAUCUUAGAGGAACGGUUCUGUCUCUAAAUGCCUAUAUUAGAAAAGAAGAGAGGAAUUAGAUCAAUAUUUGGAGCUCCCACUUUGAGAAGAUGGGAAAGUAAAGUGACGUAUGCCAAAGUAGGCAGGAGGAAGUACACAGUAAAGCAAAACACUGGAACACAGAAAGUGGAAAACACAGAAUCAAUCAAGAGAAUCAACAGAAGCAGAAGGCAGUUCUGCAAAAAGAUUGAUAAACUUGACCUACCUCUAGCAACACUCAUUAAAGGCAAGAAAGAGAGGGAGGGAAAGAGAGAGGAAUUAACAGUCUCAGGAAAUAAAGACAGGAUAUCACAGCCCUCAAACCAAGAGGAUUAUUCUGAGGCUUUGAAACCUAAGUGAGGAACUCCUGCUAGUGUUUGCCCACCUUGAUUUUCAAACUCUUUGGGGUCAAUGACUCAUUUUUACCUUCUUUUUUCUCCUUUUUUGAACUGGAAUGUCUCUAAUUUUUAUCCAAUGCCUGUCCCACCAAUUGUCUAUUGAGAACAGAUCUCAAGACGGAGAGGAAUUGUGCCCAGGAGCUGUACCUGAUAGAUUCUAUUCCAGGAGCCUCAGCAGCCCUGAUGUGGACAUUGAACUGAUGCUGUCAUGGGAUGAGGCUUUAGGAACCUUAAGAAGGAGAAGACAAAGCCAGAGACAUUCGCAGCAUGAGAAGGACUCGAUGCCACAUUACAGCAUAGAGGAUCUGAGGAAGGAGAAAGCCACCUGAGAAAGAAUGCAGACAGUCUGUAGAAGCAGAGAAUGGCUCCUGAAUGACAAUCAGCAAGGAAACAGGGACCUCAGUCCUUCAACUGCAAGGCACUGAAUUAUGCCAAUGCAGGAAUGACCUUGGAAAGGGACGCUGAGUCUGGGUGAGAAUGUAGGCAGCCAUCCUCCUUGAUUUCAGCCCUGAAACCCUCAGCAGAGAACCCAGGCACAUCAUCCCAGAUUCUGACCUACAGAGUCCACGAUAAUAAAUGGGCAUUGUUUUAAA